GCCUGAUGGAGGGGGAUAACUACUGGAAACGGUAGCUAAUACCGCAUAACGUCGCAAGACCAAAGAGGGGGACCUUCGGGCCUCUUGCCAUCGGAUGUGCCCAGAUGGGAUUAGCUAGUAGGUGGGGUAACGGCUCACCUAGGCGACGAUCCCUAGCUGGUCUGAGAGGAUGACCAGCCACACUGGAACUGAGACACGGUCCAGACUCCUACGGGAGGCAGCAGUGGGGAAUAUUGCACAAUGGGCGCAAGCCUGAUGCAGCCAUGCCGCGUGUAUGAAGAAGGCCUUCGGGUUGUAAAGUACUUUCAGCGGGGAGGAAGGGAGUAAAGUUAAUACCUUUGCUCAUUGACGUUACCCGCAGAAGAAGCACCGGCUAACUCCGUGCCAGCAGCCGCGGUAAUACGGAGGGUGCAAGCGUUAAUCGGAAUUACUGGGCGUAAAGCGCACGCAGGCGGUUUGUUAAGUCAGAUGUGAAAUCCCCC
rnacentral:rRNA from 1 species